UACGUAGGGUGCGAGCGUUGUCCGGAAUUAUUGGGCGUAAAGAGCUUGUAGGCGGUUUGUCGCGUCUGCCGUGAAAAUCCGGGGCUCAACCCCGGUCUUGCGGUGGGUACGGGCAGACUAGAGUGUGGUAGGGGAGACUGGAAUUCCUGGUGUAGCGGUGAAAUGCGCAGAUAUCAGGAGGAACACCGAUGGCGAAGGCAGGUCUCUGGGCCACUACUGACGCUGAGAAGCGAAAGCGUGGGGAGCGAACAGG
rnacentral:rRNA from 1 species